rnacentral:rRNA from 1 species
UAGUCUGGGAAACUGCCUGAUGAGGGGGAGUAACUGCUGGAAACGGUAGCUAAUACCGCAUAACGUCGCAAGACCAAAGUGGGGGACCUUCGGGCCUCAUGCCAUCAGAUGUGCCCAGAUGGGAUUAGCUAGUAGGUGGGGUAACGGCUCACCUAGGCGACGAUCCCUAGCUGGUCUGAGAGGAUGACCAGCCACACUGGAGCUGAGACACGGUCCAG